CAGCCGCCGCGGGAAUACGUAGGUGGCAAGCGUUGUCCGGAAUUAUUGGGCGUAAAGGGCUCGCAGGCGGUUUCUUAAGUCUGAUGUGAAAGCCCCCGGCUCAACCGGGGAGGGUCAUUGGAAACUGGGAAACUUGAGUGCAGAAGAGGAGAGUGGAAUUCCACGUGUAGCGGUGAAAUGCGUAGAUAUAUGGAGGAACACCAGUGGCGAAGGCGACUCUCUGGUCUGUAACUGACGCUGAGGCUCGAAAGCGUGGGUAGCAAACAGGAUUAGAUACCCCAGUAGUCCCUGUCUCUUAUAA
rnacentral:rRNA from 1 species